AUUGAACGCUGGCGGCAGGCCUAACACAUGCAAGUCGAACGGUAACAGGAAGCAGCUUGCUGCUUCGCUGUCGCGUGGCGGACGGGUGAGUCAUGUCUGUGAAACUGCCUGAUGGAUGGGGUUAACUACUGGAAACGGUAGCUAUUACCGCAUAACUUCUCAAGCCCAAAGAGCAGUACCUUAGGGCCUCUUUCCAUCGGCUGUGACCCGAUGGGAUUGGCUAGUAGGUGGGGUAACGGCUUACCUAGUCGACGAGCCCUAGCUGGUCUGCGAGGUUGACCGGCAACACUGGAACUGAGACACGGUCCAGACUCCUACGGGAGGCAGCAGUAGGGAAUCGUGCGCAAUGGGCGAAAGCAUGACGGAGCAACGCCGCGUGAGUGAGGAAGGUCUUCGGAUCGUAAAACUCUGUUAUUAGGGAAGAAAAAAUGUGUAAGUAACUAUGCACGUCUUGACGGUACCUAAUCAGAAAGCCACGGCUAACUACGUG
rnacentral:rRNA from 1 species